AUGGCAUUAUUAGCAACCAGAACUGUGAGAUACGUGAGCAUGUCAAGCAAACGUUCUUAGCCACUAUAUCACUAGUUGAUGGGCAUGUUCGCACCAACUCUUAAGUCAACAACUUCGUUCGUGGGAGAGAACUUGCUACAACUCCGGGUGAUAAUCGUAAUUUCAGACAACAAUGAAUUCUAAAACUGCGACCUCUAACAUAAUUUAGUUUACAGUAGGACAGGUCUACUGAAAUGUCAAUAUCGACAACUUAAAGUUGUCUAUGUUUUUUGUAUUUUUCCCCCCGCCCGUAGCACUGUAGAAAUGGAUCAUAAGUUAAAGAAGGGAAAGGUAGAGAAACAUGGCGUAUUCGGCAACGUGAUUUUCGUGAGUAUGGUAGCUGACUUCGUAAAUUACUUUUUAUAGUGCUUUUCCCUUGUGAAGAAACUCGUAGGAAACUUCGAGAUGUACACGACAAAUGCAGUGUUGUUAAAACUAUGAACGAUUUGUUUAUUUUAGUAGCAUAUAGGAAAGAACAACAGCACUGAAAACAGUCAUCAGUUCACGAAGUAGUGGAUGGGAAAGGGCAACAGCACUGAAAUUAGGUUCAUCAUGACCCAAGGGGUGUAUCUGUUCGAGGCUGCAGUUUACAGAGCCAAGGUUGACAAAUAGAUCAUCCAAGAAGCUUAUCUCGUACUUUACGGAGCAUUCAUGAGGUACCGUCAGUCACCCAGCAGCAUCGAAUGCUGAUAUGCGUAUUGGGUCAUUUGCACGUUUCGUGAUUCAUCACUGACGCUCUCAUCUCGUCUACACUGUUUUCUCACGUCUUCGACGUCUGAUAUCUUUAGAAAGUACCGCGCGUGUUGUGUUCACUUUGUGGUGCUGCUCAUUGUCGCGUGUUUCUGGGUCUUCAGCCGUGAGCUGUUUACAUUCUUCAUAAUUUUCCUCCAACUUGAGUGACUUGAAUUUCUAAUCUCAGUCAUAUUGCCUCCCUAGUGGUGUGAGCUAGCGGUUAUGUAUCUGGGACAGACUCUAGGUUCUGUAAUAUUCAUGGAAUGUGUCUUGACAUUCGCUAUCCGUUAUAGACUCCUGAAAUCAUCUUCGAAAAUGCAUCAACAAAUUUAUUAUGCUAAUAGUGUCAUUAGGAAUUAGAUCUCGAUGCGAAGUCAUUGUUCCUUUUGAUACCUCCGCUGGGGCAUCCUGUUACUUGAAAUGGCAAACAGAAAAUAUGGGCAUCGAUUCCGGGCAACCAGUAGAAUUUUAUUUUGGCAGAGACACGCAGUGGAAGAUAAUAUAUUACUAGCAAACAAAUUCAGUCGUCUGUUUGUAAAAAUGGGUUGUUGUGACCUAUACGUCUUGACAGACUCUUCGCGUUUGCUGCCGGAUCCUGAAAUCAAACAGUUUGUCAACAAGUGGCCACGAAAGCCUUAACAAUUUCUAUUUUCAAUAUUUCGGCGAUCCAACUGUUCUCCAUCUUCAGGAGAACGCUGCUUCUGUUGCUGAGUCCCGCUGAGCACUGUUCUGUCUCAGCAGCGUUCUCCUGAAGAUGGCAAACAGUUGGAUCGCCAAAAUAUUGAAUAGAUUUCAGGAUCCGGUAGCAAACCUGAAGAAACUUUCAAGGCUUAUUACGCCCGGAAAGACUACUAAUUUCGCAGGGAAAGUACUAUAACCAUGGAACUACGCUUUUGUUGAGGAGGCUCUUAGAUAAAAUCGCAGAAUCCUGAAAGUGGUGUUUUCAUUCCGAAAUAAACAUAGGUCUGACAAACCAAUAUUACGAACGUUUGACGAUUGUUGCUGAUAACUUAAAAGAACAUAUGAUUUUUGGUGCCAUACCUGUUCACGUGUUAGGAACGACAUCGCCCGUAAAAAUUUGAAAAGGCUGCGCAAACAAUCUCUUACAAGAGCAGAAUCCAGCUGCCUGGUUCGACUUCUUAUAGCGGUCUGUUCCACAGUUUAACAGCUGUGCAGCUGUGGCUUCUCCCAUCUGUUUCCUAGGGUUAUGAUUAGAGCUUCGCCACCAGUGACGAUAUCAUUAUAUGGUGGAAGGUGUACCAGCGUCGAUUUUGGAUGUUGUACGCCAAUAAUAAUUGCGAUUUUAACAGUUUCUGAUGUUAAUGAUGAAAGAGACUUAAAAAGUGGGAGACGAGCGAACUCUAAAAUGAAUGAAGCAUGCAUGAGUCACAAAACUGAUCGCCACCAGCUUACUGAUUUUCCAGAAACAGUUUUAUAUACUCAACUAAGUGUGGUAUGGAAUAAAACACUGGAUUUGGAAGUAGUACUACGAGAACAUGAACGGGGCUAUCCAAGAAGAAAUUGACCCAUUUCUUAUUUUUGUCAAUUAGCAAAUUUAAGUGCGUGAACUACCUGAUGUGGCACUAGCUGAAAUGUUGGACCAAGACACAGGUGUUCGAGAUUCUGUUGUCCGCAGCACCACAGCAGCAGCAUCCCACAGUCGACAUAACCGAUUUGUCGGAUCUGCUUUUCAAAUACCCUGUGCCACAGUCGGCGUCUGCAUCUCAGGAGCAGCAGCUGUUGGAGUUUACUCAACCUGCAGUUAAGUGGUUGCAGAAUACUGUUCUUUGCCAAUACUUACAACGCGACUUCCAGAGGAUCGAAAAGGCCUAGCACUGGACGGCGAUUUAGAUGUAAUAAUUGAAAUUGAGAAUGUUCAGCGCUUGGUGCUAAAGUGCAGUAUGCAUGGUAUAAGUGGGACUAUCUGUGUAGCAUAUUGGAAUACAUUAAAAAGAAAAUGACUACCGACUAUGACCUAUCACAUAUUCCUAAUGAUGUCGGUAAGUUUGGCAGGAAAGCGUCCAAUGUCUAUGUAUGGACAAGCAAAGAUGGAAUUAACUUAUGGACACUCAUGCAUUUACAUUAAUCAUUCGAGUGUUGUGAACUUAAUGUGGUACAGAGCGAUUUCAAGGCAUACAGAAAACAAUUGUUUGCGAAAUA